AACGUCGAUUGCCAAAACUGCACAGAACAGAUUCCUAGCUUUUCUGUUUUUAGUUUAAAGAGACUCAUGUACGACAACAUCUAUUUGAAUUGAAACCGACCCAAUUUUUCAUUCCUGCUUCACUCUCCUAAAACUGCAGAUGAGCCGUUAAAUAUUUCCUUGCGUGUAAAGAGUUCCUGUUGUGGCUCAGCAGGUUACAAACCCGACUAGUAUCCAUGAGGAUAUGGGUUCGGUCCUUAGCCUCACUCAGUGGGUUAAGGACUUGGUGUUGCCAUGAGCUGUGGUGGAGGUCACAGACAUGUCUUGGAUCUGGCAUUGCUGUGUCUGUGGUGAAGACUGGCAGAGAAAAAAAAUUUCCUUGAGUAUACAUAUCCCCUUCAAUGACAACUUUUUUUUUUUUUUUUUUUUUGUCUUUUUUGUUGUUGUUGUUCCUGGGAACUUCCAUAUGCUGUGGGUGAGGCCCUAAAAAGAAAAAAAAAUUUUCGCCAUGAAAGCAAGUUAAGGGUGCUUAACACCAGUUAGAGCAAGAUGAAAUUCCUAGUAUUUGUGGAUAAGGGUAACAGGGAGCAAGCUCUAGGAUUAAAUCCAAGUGUGCUAUAAUUUGGUAGUCCCCAAGCUGUUUUCAGAUUUUCUCAAUGGCUGCUGGCUUUUCAAAUUCUCUUACCAAUGACAAUGUUAUUUUUUGAAAGAGAAGUUGCUAAACUCCAUGUAUGUGGUGUGUGUGUGUGUAUACACAUGUGUACAUGUAGAUAAUUAUGCAGGCAAGAACUAAAUAUUUGGAGAAAAAUUGUAUUGUUCAAAAUUGUUUUUGACCUUUUAUCACAAGCAGAGUUCUCACUCAUGGGCAAUUCAUGGAGCUAAGAAUAUAAUCUAGUGAACUGACUGAAAUGUGGUAUAAUUAAACGCUUUAGAUUUCAGCUUUCUGUUCCACUUUGGUAGAGGGAGAGAGGAGCAGAAUCUGCUAAAUUAAUACUCAUCUGAAGAAUUUAUAUAUCACGCUAUCAAUUUCCACCCACUCUGCCUGACUUUUGAAAUUCUUUUACUGUAAGAGUUCUGAAAUAAGGAAUUCACGUUGGUUAAAGUAAGUGAAUGAGAAUGACUAGAAAAGGGGGGAAAGGAAUGAAAAUUGAUUAUUAAGGAAAAAAAAGUACCAUUAGGAAACAAUUUUUCUUCUCUUCAAUUGCAAGAUUAAUAUUUUCUAAUACAUUUGAAGACCCUCUGGUACAUCAUUUGCAUUAAUGUGACCCUUUAAGAAAAUUCUGCAUGGGGCAUUGAUCAAGUCAUUAAGUGAUGAUGCUGAGAAGUCCCUUAAAGACCCUUAAAAAGCUUUUUUUUUUCCAAACGAUCUUUUUACAUCAGAAUACCACCUCAGUGCCAUGCCGCUUGUCAAAUAGAAAAAUAAGCUUAGUUUUUUUCUGUUUUCUGAUAAAAAAUUGUUUAUGGCUGAUUAGUACUGAUGAGAAAUUCAUGUCAUUUUUCUCCGUUAAACAUAUAUUUUUAAUUGUGGAUUGUACUACAUGUCUCAUAAAAAGUGUAGAGGUAGUUCUUACUUUUAUGGCAUUUAUAGCGUAGCAAAUUCUUUUGGCUACAAACUAAAAAAUAAAAGCAAACACUUCCUUUGUUCUUUUCAGGACACUUUCCUGCUCUAAUUUUCCUAAACUCUCCUCUGAAAUAUGGCCUUUUGUAGCACCUAGGCCUUUUAACAUAGUUGAUAAAAAGUUGUUCAUUUAGAACAGUUAUUAAUGCAGGUACUCUGGAUGUUAGUAGCAAUUACAUGGGGAAAAAUUUCAAUGAUUAAUUAAACCUGGGAAUAAGUUUAGAUUAAACAAUGUUAAAUGGACUUCAUUAAUUCAGUAGUCCUCACAGCCUUUAAAAGUAACAAGUCUGUGAUUCUACCAAUGAGGAAUUUAGCAGACAGUUUUCUCCAAAUGUAUUUGACCGUGAAAUCCUUUUCUCAUGAAGGCAUAUUUUGGGAGAGAUCAUUUAGAAAUUGACAUUAGUAUGGAUAUUAAAAAAUAGGUCAGCUCUGGGUUAGAAUCAGACAGUUCUAGUCCUAGCUGUGCUAUUUAUUAACUAUAUCCCUGGACAUGUCACACAAAAAAACCUCUGAGCCUCAGUUUCCUUGUCUGUAAAUGAGAAUGAGAACACAUUUAAUUUAUACUUGUGAAAAUUUUUUGGAAAACUAUGGGAAAAUGCUCUGUAAAUUUGAAGGCAUUUUAAAAAUAUACGUGUCGUGAAAAUAAUGGGUACAGCAUUAAAAGUUGAUCUCACUAAGACUGUUUGACCUACUCAUUUUUUUAAAAAAGGCUCUUUGUCAUUAGAUUAAUGAUGUGUGAUAAUCAGAUUCCCUGAUUCAGCAAAGGAAGAGUUGUUCUCUUCCAAACCAUUCAGGUAGUGAAGUAUUAACUUUAUGGGAAAUAACCAAGAAGUAAUGAGGCAAACGUUUCCAUCUGGUUCAUUAUUUUAUAACAAUAUCACCUGUGAAUUCUUACAUAGUACUUAACUGAACUAGCAAUUAUAAAUGUUAGAGUAUACUUCAUUACGGUUGGUGAAAUACCAGACAAAUUUUUUUCUCACUUGUAUUAACUUUACAAUACUUAUAAAUGAGGAAGAAAACGUAUCUGAGUAAAUAAUAAAAUGAUUUUGAGUUACAUCCUCCUAGCAUCAACUAGAUGGCUGGUGGAGAUAUUAAUAACCCCAUAAAAUGACAAGCAGCUUGUAGAGAAGUGAGGAAGCAGAGAUUUUAAGACAUUUAGCAUUCCUCACUUGGUUGAUAAUAUUCCCUUAGAAUGAAAUAUAAUUGUUAUGGGCUGAAUAGUGUCCCCUCUCAAUUCACAUUUUGAAGUCCUAAUGCACAGUGCCUCAGAAUAUAGCUGUAUUUGGAGACAGGGUCUUUAUUAUUAUUUUUUGACCACACCCAUGGCAUGUGGAAGUUUGUGGACCAGGAACAAAUCCAUGCCAUAGCAGCAUCCCUGAGCUGCUGCAGUGACAGUGCCAGAUCCUUAACUUCACUCCAGAGAUAGUGUCUUUGAACAGCUAAGAAUGAUAAAAUAAGGUCAGAUAUAUGGGUGGGUCCUAGUCCAAUAUGACAGAUGUCUUUGUAAGAAGAGAAGAUUAAGGAGUUCCCGUAGUGGCGCAGUGGUUAACGAAUCCGACUAGGAACUGUGAGGUUGCAGGUUCGAUCCCUGGCCUUGCUCAGUGGGUUAAGGGUCUGGCAUUGCCAUGAGCUGUGGUGUAGGUUGCAGACGCAGCUCGGAUCCCAAGUUGCUAUGGCUGUGGCGUAGGCUGGCGGCUACAUCUCCAAUUCGACCCGUAGCCUGGGAACCUCCAUAUGUCAUGGGAGUGGCCCAAGA
rnacentral:lncRNA from 1 species